CCCUCUGUACAUGGCCAUGGGGACGAGCAGUGGUGCUUGUUGUGGUGCUUGAAAUUCUUUAUAAUUCAUUAAAAAACAAAUAUUGCCAAAUCGAUGGCUCAAGAAGGUGUAAUUGUUCAGAUUGUUUUAUUUUAAUAUAUUUAAUAAAGUGUUUUUCAAGUGACAUUUCCAUAGAAAUUUUCCACUCAAAAAUGAAAAUUCUGUCAUUAAUUACCCAUUCUCAUAUCAUCCCUUCCACAUUGCACAAAUGAAACUAAAGCAAGUUGCUUAGUACCUCAGAGGAGCAGGCGUCCUGUCAGGGCCGGGUGAACUUCCACACAUCCACACUCUCCGAGCGUGAGACUCGCUGGCAGUGGCUGCAACACAGCAGUAAUGAAGCAGAAAUCAUGGAGAGAGCAGGGGAAUUGGAUCCUGACAGGUUGCAAGCCGGAUUCGAACCUGCGUCACCCAUACAGAGAUCAUGGAGAAUGAAAGGAGACUGGAUCAAAACAAAGGCCAGAAUCGAACCUGUGUAGCCCACAUGAGCACCACAGCUCAGCAUAUCUGACAUGAUUACGGCUUUAAUGACACAGUUCUG